rnacentral:rRNA from 1 species
GACGAACGCUGGCGGCGUGCUUAACACAUGCACGUCGAACGGAAAGACCCUGCUUUUGUGGGGUGCUCGAGUGGCGAACGGGUGAGUAACACGUGAGUAACCUGCCCUUGACUUUGGGAUAACUUCAGGAAACUGGGGCUAAUACCGGAUAGGAGCUCCUGCUGCAUGGUGGGGGUUGGAAAGUUUCGGCGGUUGGGGAUGGACUCGCGGCUUAUCAGCUUGUUGGUGGGGUAGUGGCUUACCAAGGCUUUGACGGGUAGCCGGCCUGAGCGGGUGACCGGCCACAUUGGGACUGAGAUACGGCCCAGACUCCUACGGGAGGCAGCAGUGGGGAAUAUUGCACAAUGGGCGGAAGCCUGAUGCAGCAACGCCGCGUGCGGGAUGACGGCCUUCGGGUUGUAAACCGCUUUCGCCUGUGACGAAGCGUGAGUGACGGUAAUGGGUAAAGAAGCACCGGCUAACUACGUG